rnacentral:tRNA from 1 species
GCCCGGUUAGCUCAGUCGGUAGAGCAUCAGACUUUUAAUCUGAGGAUCAAGGGUUCAAGUCCCUUAUUGGGCG